GCCCAAGUGGUUAUGGUGGUAUAUUUUAUUGAUUUUUGUCUUGCGGUUGCAGGUUCGAACCUUGCCUUGGGCA